AAUUCUUUUUUAUCUUCACAUAAUGUUUAUGGUCUUAUUAUUACAAUUUGUCUGCUCAUAAAAUAUGUGAAUCAGUAGAGCAGCUUUUAAAGGGAAAAGUACAACUAAAUCAGGCUGUGGGUAAAUAAUUAAAAAUAUUGAAAGUGUCAAAAAAAUUAUGUGGGCUUGCCAGAAUCAAUUAUAUCUUCACAACAUAAAAAACAAGUAUUUGAACUUUCUUACACUGAUAUUUAACCCCAAUUCAAUUAAUGUCUACCACAUUGACUAUUAACAUACAUUUUAAAAGACAAUUUAAAUAAUAUUUAUAAUAUUAUAUUUAUUUCCUAACACCAUUCAGUAUGUUAUAUUGAAAUAUUCACAAUUAAAUAUAAUAUGCUAAGUGUGCUGUGUAUUAUUCAAUAAAUAUCAGAUAAGAUCAGGAUCAGAUAAGAGAUCAAUUAGCAUCAUAAACACUAAUCCCUAUCAGUGCUCCAUCUAGCCAAAACAAAGGGGUGUUUAUAGAAUUUUGAUUGGUUCUGGGACCAUCUAUUUGAAAACAAACCAUUUUUGAUUGGUUGGAGCACAGCAAGUUAUUUGGAGCACAUGAAGUUAUUUUUGUAAAUAAUUUGGUUUCAGCAACUUAAAUUGAGCUAAAUUUUUAGGUAUAAUUCAGCAACAUUAAUUCUAGUGUCAAAUGUCUUGAAAUUCUUUCAGCACAUGAACUAUUGUGUGAUGAAAACAAUGUGUAUUUACUACAAUGUGUAAAUCAACAAUAAGUUUGUUGCAAAGAAGAUUCAAAGUGGGUGGUUAAAGUGAUCAACAACUGCCGUUUUUGUUUUUUUGGAAUGCUGAAGAACAGCUGUAACAGGUUUGUAUUUUCAUUUCUGCAUCUCUUUUUAAUUAAAUUAAUUAUGAUCAUUAUCAUAUUUAUGUAUUGUCACUGGGAAAUGUAACUGGAUGAGUAAAUGUAAUGCAAUUUUAAGGAAAAAAACACCAUUUGAAUUAUUAUGGCUGUAUUUUAUGGUUAUUGUCAUCUUAAAAUUUAUUUAUACCUAUUUCUUGUCAUUAAUGAACAGAUUUCUUUCCCCCAUAUUUAAUCAGAACUUUAAUAUUUUAUAUUUGAAGGUUAAACCCCAAGGUGAAAUUUACAUUGAUCGGAAGAUCCAUUGGACAGAAUGUGCAUCAUCGCCUGCAAAAAAAGGGAGCAAAAAGGGGACUACCUGAUGUAUGGACAUGUAUACCAGGCCAACUUGAGGGGAACAGGAGUGGGAAACAGUGCCCUGUAGCUUGUCCUUGACCAAGAAAAGAUGGAUUUGUUGAGAGGACCUGAUCUCAAAUGAGAUCAUGCACGAGAAGCGCCUCGCAGACCAUGACAGUAGUAUUCAGACCUGAUCAGCUGGUGAAGUGCUCUAUAAAGGGUUGUUUAUGAAUGCAUUCUUUGUAAGGAACAGUGUAUAACAACAAAUAUAGUGACAGGGGCUAAGCUGCUAAAUAUUGUCAGCAUGUAUGCAGUGAU